GUAGGUGGCAAGCGUUGUCCGGAAGUUAUUGGGCGUAAAGCGCGCGCAGGGCGGUCCUUUAAGUCUGAUGUGAAAGCCCACGGCUCAACCGUGGAGGGUCAUUGGAAACUGGGGGACUUGAGUACAGAAGAGGAAAGCGGAAUUCCAAGUGUAGCGGUGAAAUGCGUAGAGAUUUGGAGGAACACCAGUGGCGAAGGCGGCUUUCUGGUCUGUAACUGACGCUGAGGCGCGAAAGCGUGGGGAGCAAACAGGAUUAGAUACCCUGGUAGUCCACGCCGUAAACGAUGAGUGCUAAGUGUUAGGGGGUUUCCGCCCCUUAGUGCUGCAGCUAACGCAUUAAGCACUCCGCCUGGGGAGUACGGCCGCAAGGCUG
rnacentral:rRNA from 1 species